AACGAACGCUGGCGGCAUGCCUAACACAUGCAAGUCGAACGAGACCUUCGGGUCUAGUGGCGCACGGGUGCGUAACGCGUGGGAAUCUGCCCUUGGGUUCGGAAUAACAGUUGGAAACGACUGCUAAUACCGGAUGAUGACGUAAGUCCAAAGAUUUAUCGCCCAAGGAUGAGCCCGCGUAGGAUUAGCUAGUUGGUGAGGUAAAGGCUCACCAAGGCGACGAUCCUUAGCUGGUCUGAGAGGAUGAUCAGCCACACUGGGACUGAGACACGGCCCAGACUCCUACGGGAGGCAGCAGUGGCGAAUAUUGGACAAUGGGCGAAAGCCUGAUCCAGCAAUGCCGCGUGAGUGAUGAAGGCCUUAGGGUUGUAAAGCUCUUUUACCCGGGAUGAUAAUGACAGUACCGGGAGAAUAAGCUCCGGCUAACUCCGUG
rnacentral:rRNA from 1 species